GGUGGCGACAGCUGGGGCAGCGGCGUAGGUGGCGACUGGAGCGGCGUGGGCAACAGUGGUGGCCACAGCUGGGGCAGCAGCGUAGGUGGACACGGUGCGGGCAACAGCUGGGGCAGCGACGGCGUAGCUGGCGGCUGGGGCGUAGCUGUAGCCGAGACCAAGACCAGAGUAGCCGAUGCCGUGGGCAAGGCCGUAGU